CCUACGGGAGGCAGCAGUGGGGGAUAUUGCACAAUGGGGGAAACCCUGAUGCAGCGACGCCGCGUGUGUGAAGAAGGAUUUCUGUAUGUAAAACUCUAUCAGCAGGGAAGGAAGAAGACGGUACCUGGGGAGGAAGCCCCGGCUAACUACGUGCCAGCAGCCGCGGUAAUACGUAGGGGGCAAGCGUUUUCCGGAAUUACUGGGUGUAAAGGGAGCGUAGGCGGCGUGGCAAGUUGGAGGUGAAAGCUAACGGCUAAACCGGGGGCCGCAUUCGAAACUGCGAGUCUUGAGUGAUGUAGAGGCAGGUGGAAUUCCUAGUGUAGCGGUGAAAUGCGUAGAUAUUAGGAGGAACACCAGUGGCGAAGGCGGCCUCCUGGACAUUUACUGACGCUGAGGCUCGAAAGCGUGGGGAGCAAACAGGAUUAGAUACCCCAGUAGUC
rnacentral:rRNA from 1 species